ACGAAUUUGAUGAAUCAAUAAUGGUUUGGCUUUUAAUUCAGCUACUAACACAUUGUCGGGUAGAACAGACAAGUGUACAUUCAUCGCUCGUAAAGCAAACAGUGAUUUUCGGCUUAAGGCGUCCGCAACCAAAUUAGCCUUUCCCGGGUGGUAAUCAAUGACAAGCUCAUAAUCUUUUAACAACUCAAGCCAACACCUUUGUCGCAGAUUCAAGUCUCGCUGGGUCAUCAAAU
rnacentral:lncRNA from 1 species